rnacentral:misc_RNA from 1 species
CCGAGUUUACAACUCCCAAACCCAUGUGAACAUUACCUAUACUGUUGCCUCGGCGGAUCCGCCCGCGCCCCCGUCAACCGGACCAGGCCCCGCCGCAGGGAUCCACAAACCUCUGUUUUAUUAUGUAAUUCUCUCUGAGUGAUUUAAUAACAAAUAAAUCA